AUGGCAGCCACGGGGCUUUGGAAGGCGCGAAUCCCGCUAAAAAUUAAGGUCUUUCUUUGGCAAUUAUGCCAGGAUCGCCUCCCUACCUCUAUCAAUAUAGCUAAGCGCAAUGGCCCUGCUUCCGGACCGUGCGCUUUGUGUCAUAACGCGGAAGAUGCUGACCACGCGUUCUUUCGCUGCCCUUUGGCGCGGUUUGCUUGGAGUGUGGUCAGGGAGGCCGCUGGGGUGGAUUGGGAUCCACGCUCACGCUCUGAGCUUGUGUCUUACUUAUCUUCGAUCCCGGGCUCUUUGCGCCGGAUAAUGUGGACGUGUGCUGCGGCCUUGCUAUGGGCCUUAUGGCAUAUUCGUAACAAGUUUUCUAUUGAGGGAGCGUUUCCCUCUCACCCCGCUGAUGUUAUCUUCAAAUGCAUCUUAUUCUUGCAGCAGUGGGCGCCGUUGGGAAGACAACAGGAUGCUGAUCACCACCGACAAGCUAUCGCACGGCUUCGCACCGUCUACUCGGCGAACCGAGCCUCGUCGCCUCCUCCGCCUGCUGCCUUAUAG
rnacentral:rRNA from 1 species